rnacentral:lncRNA from 1 species
AUUCGCAGAAUCGAAAUUAUAUUACUACCCUUCGCAAUAUAAACAUAUUAUAUACAAAUAAUAUAAACACAUAAUAGCAGAAAGUUAAACAAGUAAUCACGUAACACGUAAUUUACAUGCUUUAAUAUUCAUAAAAAUAUAAUCUAAUAACUCUUGUAUAUAAUCUCAUACUUGAUUAUAUACAAACGCUAAUAGCCUCAAUAAUAGAUCC